AGGUCUUUGGUGUAGUGGUAACAUGUCGUUCUCCAAAAACGAAGUCAUCAGUUCAAUUCUGAUAAGGCCUG
rnacentral:tRNA from 1 species